UGCGGGAGCCCGGACAAUCUGCUACCGCCUCCCGGUGAGUGCCCGGCCACCUCGCCCUUACCCUGCUCUUGUUCUCUCGCAGGCGUCCGAGUUCCCCUCAGAGCUCAUGUCAAGUGACAGCAAAGCACUUUGUGGCUGAAUCAAACGGUGUUCCACUGAUGAGAUUUUUUUUUUUUUCUUUUGCACAAGAAAAUGUCUACAGGAUUUUUUUUUUUUUUUAAGUGCUGAAUUUAUUUUUCAGCUGUAUCUGGAGGGGGAAAUCCACAUUCAAGUAAAAGGACCUUUUAAAAUGAAUAAAGAAGAAAAAAAAUCAAGAUUGAUCUUUAUCCCCACCCGAUUUUUCAACUUGGACUGAACCUAGUUAUUUAUGAAGAGACUCUUAAAUACCCUUUCCCUAGUUGGAAGGCUUCCUUUAUAUACUAUUCCCAGCGUGGGGAGCGAAACAAAAAUCUCACAAGGAGUUGCCCAUUUUAAAGCAGACUUUGCCUUUUUUUCCAAAGGUGGAGCGUGAGUACCAGAAGGAUCCAGUGUUCAGUUUUUUAGGAAAGUGUGUGGUCAGAAAUUACCUUUUUGACACAAACCUAGGACUGAAUACUGUGUAUAUAUUUAUAUAUAAAUAUAUAUAUGAGUGAAACCUUGUGAACUCUUUAAUUAGAGUUUUCUUGUAUAGUGGCAGAAAUAUACAUUUCUGCAAAAAGUGUAAUGAUGUACUUAAUCAUGCUAAACUUUUUAUAAAAGUUUAGUUGUAAACUUAACCCUUUUUAUACAAAAUAAAUCAAGUGUGUUUAUUGAACUGAUUGCUUACUUUAUUCUUUGAGGACCAACUGUUUGCUGGCUUUGAUUUGUGGUUUUGUUGUUGUUUUUUUAAUACUUAUACAUUGUUAUGAAUUUAUCAAGUAAAAAUUCAAAUAUGUAGAGACUAUAAAGAAUAAAAUUACCUGAUGUGUGUAAUUCUUGUAACUUGGAAAAUCUUAUUUAAGUGUAUAUUGCAAUCUUCUAAGUCAUCUGCCUGUAAACAGUGUGAAAGGAACUAGAAAAGGAAUUUAUUACACGAGGGAUGCUAUUGACAAAAGUGCUUGGAAAUGUACAAAAGCAGUUAAUCCUGAGGCAUUCCCAUG